GCCGUCUCUCCCGUCCUCCUCCACAUGUCUUCCGUAUGUAAUAAAGGACACUGGAGAUUGGAGUGAUGUCUUCGUGCUUCUGUGCUAAGCCUCCGGGGAAGUGUGAUUAUCUGGGUUGUGUCCACUGUCUCAUCUGUCACCCACAGUGUUGGGGUUUGCAACUGAGCAUGUCACUGCUAGAAGCACCCGGGGAAAGCUGCUAUGUUUGGUCUUUACCUUUGACCACAUCUGGAUUCUGGGGGUGGAACUCAGGUCUUGAUGCUUCCAAAGCAAGCACGUUACAAGCAGAACCAUCUUUCCCGCCUUUUGUUUUCUUUUGGCUGUUUCUGCCUGGCAACUAGCCAAUAUCACCGUUCCUGGUGAUGCUGUCCCACGAUCCAGAUAAUAUGGCUGCCAAGGAUGGAAAGCAGUGAACUCUACCAAAGAGUGAAGAGCAGGAGAAGAAUUGGGUAUAGACACUUAAGUAAGAGGACUGGGAUUUCCCUGAGAAUAUCUCGAAACUGUGAUGGUUUGAAGAUCCAGCUUGAGAAAGAUCGAAAAUUACACUCGAAGCCGGUCUUUGGGAUGUCUGUGAAGAAUUACCUCAUGAAGCUAACUGAAGUGAGGAGUCACACCUUAAACUCGGGAAACACCAUCCCAUGAGCUUGGUCCUGAAGUACGUAAAAAGAAGCAAGCAAGCCAAGCAUGGCUGGUCAUCUCUCUAUGCAUGUGACCAGCUGGCCUCCUGUUCCCACCACCGUGCGUGCCGUCCCUGCUAAGAUAGAAUAUAGUCCCUCAAACUGUAAGCCAGAAUAAACCCUUCCUUCCUGAAAAUGCUUCGAGUCAGUUAUUUUGUCACAGCAACACAGAAAACUCACCAACACAGGAACCAAAAUAAAAGGUCAGUCAACAUAAACUUAGUUUGUCUUUGUAAAGGAUAUCUCUAUCAGCCCCAGGGAGAGCCAUGAAAGCCAGCCAGAAGGUGAAGACAGAAAUCCUGGAGUGGCCUUCAGUCAUCAACAGAAGAGUAGGAGAGGGACCAAGGCACUUGAAAGUUAUUUCUGGGGCUGGAGAGAUGGCUCAGUGGUUAAGUGCAUACGCUGUUCUUCCAGAGGACCAGAGUUCAGUUCCCAGCUCCACAUCAGAUGGUUCACAACUAUCUGUAACUCCAGCCCCAGAGGAUCCAGCAGUCUUGGCUCCAUUUGUAUCUGCACUCAUGCACAGACCCACACAGAUGCAUACUGUGGUGGUUUGUAUAUGUUUGGCCCAGGGAGGGGCACUAUUAGGAGGUGUGGCCUUGCUGGAGUACACGUGUUACUGUGGAUGUGGGCUUUAAGACCCUAGUUGCCUGGAAGCCAGUCUUCUUUCAACCUUCAGAUGUACCAUGCUUCUCCUGUUCCAUGCCUGCCUGGAUGCUGCUGUGCUUC
rnacentral:lncRNA from 1 species